UACGAGGGGGGCAAAUGUUGUUCGGAUUCAUUGGGCGUAAAGGGUGUGUAGGCGGCGCCGUAAGUCGGGUGUGAAAUUUCGGAGCUUAACUCCGAAACUGCAUUCGAUACUGCGGUGCUUGAGGACUGGAGAGGAGACUGGAAUUCAUGGUGUAGCAGUGAAAUGCGUAGAGAUCGGGAGGAACAUCAGUUGCGAAGGCGGCUCUCUGGACCAGCACUGACACUGAGGCACGAAAGCGUGGGGAGCAAACAGG
rnacentral:rRNA from 1 species